UACACACACGCACCCCCGCGCGCACACGCCCGCCGCUCUGCCUCUGCGCCCUCCGCCCAGGCUCAUUCUCUCGCUUCCCCUGCGGUCUCUCGCUCUGCGCGCGCACACCACACACGCACACGCACACACGCGCGCACACACGCAGCCGGCACAGGCGGCGGCGGCUGCCCAAGUCAGGACGAACCUCUCUAGGUACCGUCUUGAGAAGGCGGCAGUGGCGGCGGCAGCCCGGGCAUCCCUCCUCAGCCGGAGAGGGAGCUCCGCCGAGAGUUUCCGUUCCCUUCGCCGUUUCCUUCCCCCUCCUUUUCUUUAUUUUCGAGAGAAUUUCUUCGCGUAUUGGUUUAAUUUGAUUUUGAAUUUUUUUGGUUGCUUUUUUCUGUAUGCUUUUUCUUCCCUUUCCUCAUUUUAUUUGCAUCCAGAGCAUGGCGGGCUGCGGGCUGUCGAAAGAUACCUUCUUCUCUUCCUUCUUUUACAACUACGGCUCCUCCUGGGAAACCCCUUCCAACCAGCCCAGCGGGAACCCAAGAAAGAAGCUGGAGCCGGCACGUUACCCCAAACAACUCCAGGCAAAACCGGGGAACUCGAGCGCAACCUUCCCCAAGUCGCCGCGGGCGCCGCGCCCCUGUGCGCCCCGCGCCUGCCCGCCCUCCAGUUGCACCGAGGGGCUGCGGAGCUGCGAGUCUCCCGCGACGACGUGCUCUUCCUUCUCCACUCCCCCUGGGCCCCGAGCCACCUCUUUCCCUAAAAUGGCUGCAAUCUCAAGUGGAGGCGUCCCCUGACCCCGCGGAGGGGGGAGGGCAGAGUGGAUGCCCCGAUGCCCAUGACCCCGCGCCUCCCCCGGCGCGCACAAGCACCCCACAACCACACACACUUAACUUUGAUGACUGUGCAAUGCAGUGUGGCUGCAUCGUGCCCUCAACGCUCCCCACCGCUGGCCUCUAGUGGUGCGGUAUGAACUUUAAGAUAAAGUACAGAAACAAAUGAGCGAUGUACAUCAUUCAGAGGAAGGUGCCCCCAAGUGCUACUGAAGCUUCAAUCCCUGGGGCUAAAUGCAAGCAGGCAGUGCGCUUCACCAGAAUUCGCGGUUUCCUGUGUAGCCACAUCGCUGUUUCCAGGGACGAAGAACGUCUGUGCGUAAGGACCUAGGUUCUCCCUGAUUUCCAGCUUGCGUUUUCCGCGUGCGAGCAUGGGCAAGCGACCGAGAAACCUGCUCCUAACUGUUCCUACGGAGAGGAAAAAAAAUAAUAAAACAAGGGCAACACUUUACAUCUCAUCUUGGACUCUGGGCAAGGCUGCUAGAGAGAGGCCUGGGCCAAAUUUGAAAGAGUGAGGCUUAUUCAUGAUUUUUACCUGAAUUGCUGCCAAAAAGCUUACAAAUCCUCUGUUCCCUAAAAAUAGCAAUGCUCUUCAAAUGUAAUUUGUUUACUCCACCUCAAUUAAAAAUAAAACCCUCUUCCUAGUGUAUAAAGUGCUUGUGAGGUAAGGGUUGCUUGUACUGAAAAAAAAAUCAAGCUUUUUAUUUCUAGAUCAAUAUGAUGUGCUCUCAACAUCUAAUACCAUGUAAAAGGAGCCUUUUUAUACAACAUCAAUAGCGGGCAGGCAUGUCUCCUUAAGAAGCUCUUUUCCUGGAAUCACAAGGCAUUUUUGAUUACUUUCAUUUUCACAAGAAACUUGAUUAUGACACCUCCGGUUAUAAACAAGCGAGCGAAAGAAAUAAUAAAGAUGGGGGUUCUUUAUAGAGAGACCUGGACAUUUGGGAACAACUCGGGUAUUUAUUUAUUCAUUACUAAACACAAACACAAAAAACCAAACCCAGGCAUGAAUCAUUGUUGACUGGGAGGUUUUUAGUUAUUCUCUGACGUUUUAUUAUUAAAACUGCUGGUGGUGGGGAUUGGGGUAAUGUUUUGGGAGAGAGCCCAGUGUGUAUUAGAGCCGAAACUGCAUCUGUUACCAUUUAAAAAAACUGGGAAAUUCCAUCUUAUAUCUGAGUAGAUCAUGUUGUAGAUGCUUUGCACCCACUUUGCCAAUGUGCAAAACAUACCAUAGUCAGAGGGUGUAUGUGGGGGGGAAGCAUCUGUUUAGGUGGAAUUUAUUUCUUCAAUUAGAAUGAAAACCCCAAUUAAAAUGUGUAUGUGAAAUGUCUCUGAUUUGGCUCAGUGCAGCCGACAACAGACCAUUCUGUAAUUUACAGUUUCGCACCUAGGGAUGGCAGUAGUGCGAGCUUCCAAACCCAGCUUUAUCUUUUCGUGCUGUGCUUUUCAACCUGGGAGCCUCCUGGAGUUGCUGAAGCCUCGGUCUCCACCUCGAAGCGGACCACAGGGUGGUCGUGACUGCUUGCUGUUUGGACCUGGGUCACCUUAUUAGUUGUCCCUGUGUAAGUUCAAAUAGAAGCAGGCCAGGUCUGUAUGAUAGUGAGUCAAUUGAAAGUGAAAAACGGAGCCAAUUAGCUGACUGCUUGGGUGUCCGUGAGGCCAAACCUCUGACUCGAUUCACCCGACUGGGCAGUUCUUUGUUUACAGGGGUGCUGAACCCGCAUUCGCGAAAAAGACAUUACCAACACAUUGGACAGUGCUUUUUUUUUUUUUUUUUUA